rnacentral:rRNA from 1 species
CGAGGAAGAGAAAUCAACCGAGAUUCCGCCAGUAGUGGCGAGCGAACGCGGAAGAGGCCAAACCAGUGGAUUUAUUCACUGGGGUUGCGGACAGUCAAGAAGUGAGGAAUGGUUAGACGAAGGGUCUGGGAAGGCCCGCCACAGAAGGUGAGAGCCCUGUAGUCGAAAACGAUUUCUUAGUGGACUGGAUCCAGAGUACCACGGGACACGUGAAACCCUGUGGGAAACCGGGGGGACCACCCUCCAAGCCUAAAUACUACCUGAUGACCGAUAGAGGAGCAGUACCGUGAGGGAAAGGUGAAAAGGACCCCGGGAGGGGAGUGAAAGAGAACCUGAAACCUUGUGCUUACAAGCACUCAAAGCCCGUUAAGGGGUGAUGAGGUACCUUUUGUAGAAUGGUCCGGCGAGUUAUUGUUAUCAGCAAGCUUAAGGUAUUCAGUACCGAAGGCGCAGGGAAACCGAGUGUGAAUAGCGCGCAUGAAGUUGGUGGCAAUAGACCCGAAACCGGGUGACCUAUCCAUGGGCAGGUUGAAGUGGAGGUAAAACUCCAUGGAGGACCGAACGCACGUUCGUUGCAAUGACCGGCGAUGACCUGUGGAUAGCGGUGAAAUUCCAAUCGAACCCGGAGAUAGCUGGUUCUCCCCGAAAUAGCUUUAGGGCUAGCGUUAUGUUAGAUUACCGGAGGUAAAGCACUGAAUGGGCUAGGGGCUGAUAAAGUUACUGAACCCUAUCAAACUCAGAAUGCCGGCUAAUUGAUGCAUAGCAGUCAGACUACGUGAGAUAAGUCUCGUGGUCAAAAGGGAAACAGCCCAGACCCACAGCUAAGGUCCCAAAUAAUUGCUAAGUGGAAAACGAUGUGAGAUUGCCCAGACAACCAGGAUGUUGGCUUAGAAGCAGCCACACAUUAAAAGAGUGCGUAAUAGCUCACUGGUCGAGUGGUCUUGCGCGGAAAAUAUAACGGGGCUAAGCAGUUAACCGAAGCUUGGGCUUGCCGAAGGCAGGGGUAGGGGAGCGUCGAAUACGGGGUGAAGUCGCAGCGGGAGCAGCGGUGGACUGUAUUCGAGUGAGAAUGCCGGAAUGAGUAGCGAGAAUUAUGUGGGAAUCAUAAUGGCCGAAAAUCUAAGGUUUCCUGGGGAAGGUUCGUCCGCCCAGGGUUAGCCGGGAGCUAAGGCGAGGCCGCGAGGCGUAGUCGAUGCACAUACGGUUGAAAUUCCGUAGCCACCUUAUCGAAUGAAAGCUGACACUUGGAAAUAGCGGGACCCGGAGAUUGGUAGAUCCGGGCGUAAGGGACCGAACACGAGUAGGGAAGUCCGCGAUGUUCUGAGGCGAGAAAAGGCGAAGGUAGGGUGCCCGUACCGCAAACCGACACAGGUAGAUGAGGAGAGAAUCCUAAGGCCAACGGGAGAAGGGUUGUUAAGGAACUCGGCAAAAUGACCCCGUAACUUCGGGAUAAGGGGAGCCUGCGCGAGCAGGCCGCAGAGAAUAGGCCCAAGCGACUGUUUACCAAAAACACAGGUCUAUGCUAAAUCGAAAGAUGACGUAUAUGGGCUGACGCCUGCCCGGUGCUGGAAGGUUAAGAGGAGAUGUCAGGCAACGAAGCAUUGAAUCGAAGCCCCAGUAAACGGCGGCCGUAACUAUAACGGUCCUAAGGUAGCGAAAUUCCUUGUCAGGUAAGUUCUGACCCGCACGAAUGGCGUAACGAUUUGGGCACUGUCUCAACAGCCCGCCCGGCGAAAUUGUAGUACCGGUGAAGAUGCCGGUUACCCGCGACAAGACGGAAAGACCCCAUGGAGCUUUACUGUAGCCU